rnacentral:rRNA from 1 species
GACGAACGCUGGCGGCGUGCCUAAUACAUGCAAGUCGAACGAACCGCGACUAGGUGCUUGCACUUGGUCAAGGCGAGUGGCGAACGGGUGAGUAAUACGUGGGUAACCUACCUCAUAGUGGGGGAUAACAGUCGGAAACGACUGCUAAUACCGCAUAGGACAUAGGAUCACAUGAUCCAGUGAGGAGAGGUGGCGCAAGCUAUCGCUAAGAGAUGGACCCGCGGUGCAUUAGCUAGUUGGUAGGGUAAAGGCCUACCAAGGCGAUGAUGCAUAGCCGACCUGAGAGGGUGAUCGGCCACAUUGGGACUGAGACACGGCCCAAACUCCUACGGGAGGCAGCAGUAGGGAAUCUUCCGCAAUGGACGCAAGUCUGACGGAGCAACGCCGCGUGAGUGAAGAAGGUCUUCGGAUCGUAAAGCUCUGUUGUUAGAGAAGAACAGCGCAUAGAGUAACUGUUAUGCGUGUGACGGUACCUAACCAGAAAGCCACGGCUAACUACGUG